rnacentral:rRNA from 1 species
AUACGUAGGGGGCUAGCGUUAUCCGGAUUUACUGGGCGUAAAGGGUGCGUAGGUGGUUUCUUAAGUCAGGAGUGAAAGGCCACGGCUUAACCGUAGUAAGCUCUUGAAACUGGGAAACUUGAGUGCAGGAGAGGAAAGUGGAAUUCCUAGUGUAGCGGUGAAAUGCGUAGAGAUCGGUAGGAACACCAGUGGCGAAGGCGGCUUUCUGGACUGAAACUGACGCUGAGGCGCGAAAGCGUGGGGAGC